UCGCGAGGCGCCCUUCGACCAGCAGCGCCCGGGGCGGGCGAGUAUAAAUGGAGCGGUGGCUCCCCCGGCCGCCUCUCUCCGCCCCGGGUCGCCGCAGCCUCCGUCGCUUUCGGGCCCUAGCAGCCUGAAGGAAAAACAGGAAAAGAUAAAAAAAAUCCGAAAAUGCUUUAAAACCUAAAAAAAAAAAACAAAAACCGAGAGAGAGAGAGAAAGAAAAAAGCGCAUCCUCCUCGGAGAGCCCGCGGGGAAGUCACUUCUGCACGCUUCCGGCCUGCCCGCGCCCGCCGCCGCACCUUGGCGUCCGUCGGUCCGGUGGUGAGCCGCCCGCCCGCGUCCACGCGCCUCCGCUCCGUCCGCCCCCGCGCCGCGUGGCAGCCCCGCGCCCGCCGCCCUCGCCCCCCGCGCGCCGGCCCCGGGCGCACCACGUGUCCGCGCUGCCCUUCGCCGGCCCGGCGUGGGAGGAGGCUGCGCGCCCGGCCCCCGGGGCUUGCCGAGUCGGCGCCGACCAAGAUUUGGUUUCCCUCUUGCCCUGGCUGCUGUAAUCUUAAACCGCCGGGAGCCCGAGGCCUAUAUUUAUAGAGAAACCCGUGUCCCGGAGGCCGCCGUGGGCACCAUUUGGUUGCCUCUUGGAGAAUUUUUAUAAUUUGGAGGGGAGUCCCUGUUUUAAUACGUUAUUUUUUUUUUUUCUCCUUCGAAAUUUGGAGCUUCAGACCAGGACAGCUGCAAAUUACAAACUCCCAGAGAGGGCCAUAUUGUUUUUGAGAGCCUUUUGUCUGCGGUUUUGCAGUCUCGAACGAGCUGUCCCUGAACUCCUCCUCCCGGUCCUCCGUGUCUCCGAGCCUGCUCCGGCGUCUCUUAGCUUCACUCUGCCACCUGUGAGCCGCGGCGCGGGCCACGGCUCCGAGAAGAGCCCCUUUUGUCCUGUGUGGUCCCUAUAAGAAGUUCUCCUGGCGGGGCUCGGGGUGGUGGGGGCUGGGGAGAUGAACGCUGCGGCCAGCAGCUACCCCAUGGCCUCCCUCUACGUGGGUGACCUGCACUCGGACGUCACCGAGGCCAUGCUGUAUGAAAAGUUCAGUCCUGCGGGGCCUGUGCUGUCCAUCCGGGUCUGCCGCGAUAUGAUCACCCGCCGCUCCCUGGGUUAUGCCUACGUCAACUUCCAGCAGCCGGCUGACGCUGAGCGGGCCUUGGAUACCAUGAACUUUGAUGUGAUUAAGGGAAAGCCAAUCCGUAUCAUGUGGUCUCAGAGGGAUCCCUCUUUGAGAAAAUCUGGUGUGGGAAACGUCUUCAUCAAGAAUCUGGACAAAUCUAUAGAUAACAAGGCACUUUAUGAUACUUUUUCUGCUUUUGGAAACAUUCUGUCUUGCAAGGUGGUGUGUGAUGAGAACGGCUCUAAGGGUUAUGCCUUUGUCCACUUCGAGACGCAAGAGGCUGCUGACAAGGCCAUCGAGAAGAUGAACGGCAUGCUCCUCAAUGACCGCAAAGUGUUUGUGGGCAGAUUCAAGUCUCGAAAAGAGCGGGAAGCUGAGCUUGGAGCCAAAGCCAAGGAGUUCACCAAUGUUUAUAUCAAAAACUUUGGGGAAGAGGUGGAUGAUGAGAGUCUGAAAGAGCUAUUUAGCCAGUUUGGUAAGACCCUAAGUGUCAAGGUGAUGAGAGAUCCCAGUGGGAAAUCCAAAGGCUUUGGCUUUGUGAGUUACGAAAAACACGAGGAUGCCAAUAAGGCUGUGGAAGAGAUGAAUGGAAAAGAAAUCAGUGGGAAAGUGAUUUUUGUAGGCCGUGCCCAGAAGAAAGUGGAACGGCAGGCUGAGUUAAAGCGGAAAUUUGAACAGCUGAAACAAGAGAGAAUUAGUCGGUAUCAGGGGGUGAAUCUCUACAUUAAGAACUUGGAUGACACCAUUGAUGAUGAGAAGUUAAGGAAAGAGUUUUCUCCUUUUGGAUCAAUCACCAGUGCUAAGGUAAUGUUGGAGGAUGGGAGAAGCAAAGGGUUUGGCUUUGUCUGCUUCUCAUCUCCUGAAGAGGCGACCAAAGCAGUCACCGAGAUGAACGGACGCAUCGUGGGCUCCAAGCCACUAUAUGUCGCCCUGGCCCAGAGGAAGGAAGAGCGAAAGGCUCACCUGACCAACCAGUACAUGCAGCGGGUGGCUGGAAUGCGAGCACUCCCUGCCAAUGCCAUCUUAAAUCAGUUCCAGCCUGCAGCCGGUGGUUACUUCGUGCCAGCAGUCCCACAGGCCCAGGGAAGACCUCCAUAUUACACACCCAACCAGUUAGCACAGAUGAGGCCUAACCCCCGCUGGCAGCAAGGUGGGAGACCUCAAGGCUUCCAAGGAAUGCCAAGUGCUAUACGCCAGUCUGGGCCUCGUCCCGCUCUUCGCCAUCUGGCUCCAACUGGUAAUGCUCCGGCCUCUCGUGGCCUCCCUACUACCGCUCAGAGAGUCGGGUCUGAGUGCCCGGACCGCUUGGCUAUGGACUUUGGUGGGGCUGGUGCCGCCCAGCAAGGGCUGACUGACAGCUGCCAGUCUGGAGGUGUUCCCCCAGCCGUGCAGACCUUAGCGCCUCGUGCUGCUGUUGCUGCUGCUGCCCCUCGGGCUGUCGCACCUUACAAAUAUGCCUCCAGUGUCCGCAGCCCUCACCCUGCCAUCCAGCCCCUGCAGGCACCGCAGCCUGCGGUCCAUGUGCAGGGGCAGGAGCCCCUGACCGCCUCCAUGCUGGCCGCAGCGCCCCCCCAGGAGCAGAAGCAGAUGCUGGGAGAACGUUUGUUCCCGCUCAUCCAAACCAUGCAUUCAAACCUGGCUGGGAAAAUCACGGGCAUGCUGUUGGAGAUUGACAACUCUGAGCUGCUGCACAUGCUCGAGUCCCCCGAGUCGCUCCGCUCCAAGGUGGAUGAAGCUGUGGCGGUUCUGCAGGCUCAUCAUGCCAAGAAAGAAGCUGCCCAGAAGGUGGGCGCUGUUGCCGCUGCUACCUCUUAGCCAAGGAAGAACCGUAUGUUUGGCUGUUUUUGUUUUCUGCAAUGGCUUUGACUUGUGACAAUCUUCCUAAAAGAUUACUUAGAGCCACUAUAACCCGGAUUCAAAAGCCAAAUAACCCCUCCUGGAAUUCAGCUCAAGGUUUGAAGAUUCCUAGCGUGUCCUAUGGACCUCAACACCAAGAACCACAAAUUGGAAAUUUAAUAGGUCAUUUUGUAUCAAAAGGUCAAUUAUGAAGCACCUAGAAUUUUUCAAUUAAAAGAAUAUAUUCUCUGGGUUCUGCUAUGGCCCAGACAGUGUUAACUUUUUUUUUCUAUUGUGGGUUUUGAUUUUUUCCCCCCGAAAUUGGUUUUAUUUGAUGUACCCAAGUCUUAAGUUUCUCAAUAAAGAAAAAAAUCUCCAUAAAA